rnacentral:rRNA from 1 species
UCGUCACACUAUCAUUAACUGAAUCCAUAGGUUAAUGAGGCGAACCGGGGGAACUGAAACAUCUAAGUACCCCGAGGAAAAGAAAUCAACCGAGAUUCCCCCAGUAGCGGCGAGCGAACGGGGAGGAGCCCAGAGCCUGAAUCAGCAUGUGUGUUAGUGGAAGCGUCUGGAAAGGCGCGCGAUACAGGGUGACAGCCCCGUACACAAAAGCGCAUGUGCUGUGAGCUCGAUGAGUAGGGCGGGACACGUGGUAUCCUGUCUGAAUAUGGGGGGACCAUCCUCCAAGGCUAAAUACUCCUGACUGACCGAUAGUGAACCAGUACCGUGAGGGAAAGGCGAAAAGAACCCCGGCGAGGGGAGUGAAAAAGAACCUGAAACCGUGUACGUACAAGCAGUGGGAGCACAGGUUUACCUGUGUGACUGCGUACCUUUUGUAUAAUGGGUCAGCGACUUAUAUUCUGUAGCAAGGUUAACCGAAUAGGGGAGCCGGAGGGAAACCGAGUCUUAAUUGGGCGUUAAGUUGCAGGGUAUAGACCCGAAACCCGGUGAUCUAGCCAUGGGCAGGUUGAAGGUUGGGUAACACUAACUGGAGGACCGAACCGACUAAUGUUGAAAAAUUAGCGGAUGACCUGUGGCUGGGGGUGAAAGGCCAAUCAAACCGGGAGAUAGCUGGUUCUCCCCGAAAGCUAUUUAGGUAGCGCCUCGUGAAUUCAUCUCCGGGGGUAGAGCACUGUUUCGGCUAGGGGGCCAUCCCGGCUUACCAACCCGAUGCAAACUGCGAAUACCGGAGAAUGUUAUCACGGGAGACACACGGCGGGUGCUAACGUCCGUCGUGAAGAGGGAAACAACCCAGACCGCCAGCUAAGGUCCCAAAGUCAUGGUUAAGUGGGAAACGAUGUGGGAAGGCCCAGACAGCCAGGAUGUUGGCUUAGAAGCAGCCAUCAUUUAAAGAAAGCGUAAUAGCUCACUGGUCGAGUCGGCCUGCGCGGAAGAUGUAACGGGGCUAAACCAUGCACCGAAGCUGCG